rnacentral:rRNA from 1 species
UGUUUGAUGUUCUAACGUGGACCCGUGAUCCGGGUUGCGGACAGUGUCUGGUGGGUAGUUUGACUGGGGCGGUCUCCUCCUAAAGAGUAACGGAGGAGCACGAAGGUUGGCUAAUCCUGGUCGGACAUCAGGAGGUUAGUGCAAUGGCAUAAGCCAGCUUGACUGCGAGCGUGACGGCGCGAGCAGGUGCGAAAGCAGGUCAUAGUGAUCCGGUGGUUCUGAAUGGAAGGGCCAUCGCUCAACGGAUAAAAGGUACUCCGGGGAUAACAGGCUGAUACCGCCCAAGAGUUCAUAUCGACGGCGGUGUUUGGCACCUCGAUGUCGGCUCAUCACAUCCUGGGGCUGAAGUAGGUCCCAAGGGUAUGGCUGUUCGCCAUUUAAAGUGGUACGCGAGCUGGGUUUAGAACGUCGUGAGACAGUUCGGUCCCUAUCUGCCGUGGGCGCUGGAGAACUGAGGGGGGCUGCUCCUAGUACGAGAGG